GCUUCGACUUUAUCUUUUUGGAUCCUGGAAAUUUCCACCGAGCUCUUUCCUCCUGUGGGCGGAGCUGAUGGAGAGCACAUAAAUCAUCUGAAACUGAAACUAUCCUUUAAACAGAGAGUCUGAAGAUCAGCAUCAAGGAAGAACAGGUCGACCGAGGACUAUGGCCGAGAACCUGCGUCAUAGAUGUAACGAUGCGGCUCAAUCUUAUAUUAACCAGAGAAACUCACAUGACUGGACCGCAUGCGGUAAGCUAUAUAAACAGGCCACAGAUCAUAUGAGAAAUUAUGUUCUAAACAUGUUCUCUCAU